UAAUAAGUGUUUUAUGGCACUCUUUAAAUCCAUAUCCACCUUGUGUGCAAUGUCAGUCGAUCUUCUUCAUGGAGAUCGACCAAACAUCAACCUUUAUCCUUUAACUCUUUGUCUGAAAAAUAUUAUGAAUAAACAAUUCAAAAUA
rnacentral:misc_RNA from 1 species